GACAGAGGGUGCAAACGUUGUUCGGAUUUACUGGGCGUAAAGCGCGUGUAGGCGGCUUUGCAAGUCGGAUGUGAAAGCCCACGGCUCAACCGUGGAAGUGCAUCCGAAACUGUAUGGCUUGAGUCUCGGAGAGGAAGGUGGAAUGCUUGGUGUAGAGGUGAAAUUCGUAGAUAUCAAGCAGAACACCUGCGGCGAAGGCGGCCUUCUGGACGAUGACUGACGCUGAGACGCGAAAGCGUGGGGAGCAAACAGG
rnacentral:rRNA from 1 species